CCUACGGUGUGCAGCAGUGGGGGAUAUUGGACAAUGGGGGGAACCCUGAUCCAGCGACGCCGCGUGAGUGAAGAAGUAUCUCGGUAUGUAAAGCUCUAUCAGCAGGGAAGAACGGUCACUGUGCUAAUCAGCAGUGAAUUGACGGUACCUGCAAAGGAAGCACCGGCUAACUCCGUGCCAGCAGCCGCGGUAAUACGGAGGGUGCGAGCGUGCAUCGGAAUUACUGGGCGUAAAGCGCUCGUAGGCGGUAUGUCAAGUCAAGGGUGAAAUCCCCGCGCUCAACGUGGGAACUGCCUUUGAAACUGGCAAACUGGAGUGUGUGAGAGGAUAGUGGAAUUCCAGGUGUAGGAGUGAAAUCCGUAGAUAUCUGGAGGAACAUCAGUGGCGAAGGCGACUAUCUGGCACAUAACCGACGCUGAGGAGCGAAAGCGUGGGUAGCAAACAGGAUUAGAUACCCCUGUAGUC
rnacentral:rRNA from 1 species